rnacentral:rRNA from 1 species
GUGGGGAAUAUUGGACAAUGGGCGAAAGCCUGAUCCAGCCAUGCCGCGUGUGUGAAGAAGGUCUUCGGAUUGUAAAGCACUUUAAGUUGGGAGGAAGGGUAGUAACCUAAUACGUUGCUACUUUGACGUUACCGACAGAAUAAGCACCGGCUAACUUCGUGCCAGCAGCCGCGGUAAUACGAAGGGUGCAAGCGUUAAUCGGAAUUACUGGGCGUAAAGCGCGCGUAGGUGGUUCAGUAAGUUGGAAGUGAAAUCCCCAGGCUCAACCUGGGAACUGCUUUCAAAACUGCUGAGCUAGAGUACGGUAGAGGGUGGUGGAAUUUCCUGUGUAGCGGUGAAAUGCGUAGAUAUAGGAAGGAACACCAGUGGCGAAGGCGACCACCUGGACUGAUACUGACACUGAGGUGCGAAAGCGUGGGGAGCAAACAGGAUUAGAAACCCGAGUAGUCC